CCCCAAAUUGUAAAAACUUAUAGGGAGAUUUCAUUGGUUUGAAAGUCAUAAUGUUGAAAUUAGUAGGGAAAAUUAUAUUUUUUGUGAAUUAAUCAAUCCUAACUUUGGAUGGAGUAAUAGUCUAUAGUCGAGAAAUUAGUUUAUUCAGGUUGUCUACUAACACAAGUAAUAUAUUAAAGAAUAAAAUAAGGAAAAGGAAUUCGGCAAAUCAUAACUUCGCCUGUUUACCAAAAACAUCGCUCUUUGUAAAGAGUCUAAUACAUAAAGAGUCCUGCCUGCCCGGUGACUUAGUUAAACGGCCGCGGUAUCUUGACCGUGCAAAGGUAGCAUAAUCAUUUGCCUUUUAAAUGGGGGCUGGUAUGAAUGGCAAGACGGGAGUUAAGCUGUCUCUUUCUUAUAAUCCUGAAGUUAAUAUUUCCGUGAAGAAGCGGAAAUAUAGUCGUAGGACGAGAAGACCCUAUCGAGCUUUAGUAGAAAUAAGGUGCAAUUUAUUAACGCUAUUUUAUUGCUAAUAAAUAAUUAAAAAUGGUUGUAUGAUUUUACUGUAAAAUAGGGGUAGUAUGCAUUUAGUACUUAGGUUGGGGCAACCGCGGAGAAUAAAAAUCCUCCGCUAAUUUAUUAGAAAAAAAAUUUUUUUAUAAUAUAAGGUUUAUUUAUAAAGUGAUCCACUAGGAAAGGUGAGCAAAAGAAUAAGUUACCGUAGGGAUAACAGCGUAAUUUUUUUGGAGAGUUCAUAUUGAUAAAAAAGUUUGCGACCUCGAUGUUGGAUCGGGAUUUCCUAGGGAUGCAGCAGUUCCUAA
rnacentral:rRNA from 1 species